rnacentral:rRNA from 1 species
AUUGAACGCUGGCGGCAGGCCCAACACAUGCAAGUCGGACGGUAGCACAGAGGAGCUUGCUCCUUGGGUGACGAGUGGCGGACGGGUGAGUAAUGUCUGGGGAUCUGCCCGAUAGAGGGAGAUAACCACUGGAAACGGUGGCUAAUACCGCAUAACGUCGCAAGACCAAAGAGGGGGACCUUCGGGCCUGUCACUAUCGGAUGAACCCAGAUGGGAUUAGCUAGUAGGCGGGGUAAUGGCCCACCUAGGCGACGAUCCCUAGCUGGUCUGAGAGGAUGACCAGCCACACUGGAACUGAGACACGGUCCAGACUCCUACGGGAGGCAGCAGUGGGGAAUAUUGCACAAUGGGCGCAAGCCUGAUGCAGCCAUGCCGCGUGUAUGAAGAAGGCCUUCGGGUUGUAAAGUACUUUCAGCGGGGAGGAAGGCGACGCGGUUAAUAACCGCGUCGAUUGACGUUACCCGCAGAAGAAGCACCGGCUAACUCCGUGCCAGCCGCCGCAGUAACAC